GCUGAUACUAAAGGCUUUGAGAUGAGCAUUUUCCUAGACGACCCUCUUCGUUGGUUUGUUUAAGCUUUAGAGUGUUGAGAACAUGAACUCUCCAUCAGCCUAGUUUGUCACCCCAAGAAUGAUAGGAGUAUAUGACCCUAUCUACCAGAUUAACAUGUGGGGAGAAAACUUCAAAAGCAAUUGUAAUCUAAGUGCGUCUGCAUCCUUGAUUGUGGAGGAUGUGAAACUAGAAAGUCAGGUGAAAAGCUUUGAAGGUUAUGCGUUUUGGUAGUUUGGGCCAAAUUCUCUCUAAGCUUAUUCAUUUUUGUUAUGAUGAGCUUCUAGAGAAUGAUUCGGAGUUUUUGUGAUGAAGCCUUCACAAUUAAAAGGUACAUGUUUUG